rnacentral:rRNA from 1 species
GACGAACGCUGGCGGCGUGCUUAACACAUGCAAGUCGAGCGGUAAGGCCCUUUCGGGGGUACACGAGCGGCGAACGGGUGAGUAACACGUGGGUGACCUGCCCUCAGCUCUGGGAUAAGCCUGGGAAACCGGGUCUAAUACUGGAUAUGACUCCAUGACGCAUGUUGUGGGGUGGAAAGCCUUGUGCGGCUGAGGAUGGGCCCGCGGCCUAUCAGCUUGUUGGUGGGGUGANGGCCUACCAAGGCGACGACGGGUAGCCGGCCUGAGAGGGCGACCGGCCACACUGGGACUGAGACACGGCCCAGACUCCUACGGGAGGCAGCAGUGGGGAAUCUUGCGCAAUGGGCGAAAGCCUGACGCAGCGACGCCGCGUGAGGGAUGACGGCCUACGGGUUGUAAACCUCUUUCAGCUCCGACGAAGCGAGAGUGACGGUAGGAG